GUGGCUGGGUCGACUUGAAGGAGAAAGAAGAAGAAAUAGCUGAAAGCCCUAAUCGCUGGUCUUUUUUUUUUCAACUGCCUUUUUCUUUCUUUCUUUUCAAAAAGCGACGCUACAGGUCGCCUGUCCCUACACAGCGCCUCUCGCUCGCCUUUUUGAAAUCACAACGCAACAGAGGCAAAUAGCGUUGGAGGCUCGCAUCGCAUCGCCUCACGCUAUUAGCGCUGAGGCGAGCGCUAUUUACAACACUGAAUCUAGGAUACACUACGCAAACACUACCCUGAAAUCAAGCAACAAAAAUAAAAUAAAUAACCGAAAUAUAACCUCCAACUACUAGAGGUCACAGAGAAAAUGGGCAAAAUUACUAUAAUAUAGUUUGGGAAGCAAAAAUUAAAGAAAAAGACAAGUAAUCUAGACAGGCAAGUCCUAACUAAUAGCUAAAUAAGGAGGUCUACUAAAAAUGACAGUAAAACAAGUGAUGUUCUAUGGAUAAAGCAAUACAAGUAAGACAAAAUAUCGAGAUCAAUGGUAAAGGCAAGAAAGAUAAUAAUUCAAGAAAGAUAGAACCAGACUGUAAUCGAGACGUGGGGCUUCGCUGGAUUAUCCACCUUUUAAUACAAUAAAAUGUAUUGUUAGUCUUUAUAUUUAGUAUCUCUACAUUACAAUUCUUGCUAACUUAUCUUCGAAUAAAACGAUCCCUAAGUUCAUAGUAGGUUGAUCCAAUCUUUAUAUUAUGUAGUAGGCGUUUGGACAUAAGAAUUAUAAAAUUAAAAAAAAUAGUGAAUUUUUUUUUAAAGUGAAAAUGAUAUUUGAAAAUUAGAGUUGUGUUUGGACAUAAAUAUAAUUUUGUGUUUUUUUGAAGUUUUAUGAGUGAAAAUUUUAAAAAACAUCCUUUUGGAGUUUUUCAAAUUUUUGAAAAUUUCUAAAAUAUAUUUUCAAGUGAAAAAAUAAAAUUUUAUGGCCAAACACUGAUAAUGAAAAAAGUGAUUUUUUUUUUUAAAAAAAGUGAAAUUCUUAUGUCGAAACGGGCUCACGUGGGUAACAAAUAAUUCUUACUUGGACUACAAUAGAAAUUUGAGUUAGUUGAAAGGGAUGGUGAGGUGAUGCGAUGAACUAUCGAACUGCUACUUUUAUCGACGUGGUACUGCUAUCAGUGUCGCAGAUUGUAUAAGAAAUUAGAAAGUGACACAGAUUUAAAGAUUUUUCUUUUGGUCGAAAUAUAUUUCUAUUUCUACUAGAGUGAAAAUUUUCUACUUUUGUUAAACGAUAAAAAUAAAUUUCAAAAGAUUUCUACACUUUCGUUAAAUGAUAAAAAUAAAUUUCUUUACAUAACUAACAUGGCCAAAUUGGCAUAUAAUCUGAAAUACUCAAAAACCAUGUCUAUAUACCUUUGUCUCUUUCGAAAUUUUGUAGUCCGUAAAUUAAGACGUAAAAUUAAAAAAAUAAUCGUCAAAGUUAGUUUCAAGAUUUAAUUUUCUUAUCAUAUAGUCUCUCCGUUUCAAUUUAUCUGAACAUAUUUUCUUUUUAGUCCGUACAAAAAAGAAUGACAUAUUUCCCUAUUUGAAAAUAAUUUACCGUUAUGCAAUAAUUUAUAGCUAUACAGAAUAUAUGUGACCAUAAAUUCAAAAGUCUUCUCUAUUUUCUUAAAUUCCGUGGUCGAUUCACAUAAAUUAGAACGGAAGGAGUAUAAUACUCCAAAUAAGUCAUUUAUGUAAUAAUUCAAAACCAAACAAAAUGAAACAAAUUAAAACCAGACAGAUAUCAGUCACCCCAUUUUCAUACUAGCAUAUUUAUUUUUAUUAUUUGAAAAGAGAAAAAAAAAAAAAAGAGAAGAAAGGAUCAGAUGUAGCCUCCAUUGACACGAAUGAUUUGUCCAUUAACCCAUUCAGAAGCAUCACCUGCCAAAAACCCAACAAACGGCGCAACAUCCUCCGUCUGUCCAAGUCUUCCAUGUGGACACUCAUCAAUUACCCUCUUUAUCAUCUCCUCUGUUUUCCCAUCGUAAAACAUCUCCGUUGCUAUGGGUCCCGGCGCCACGCAAUUCGCCGUUAUUCCAGUCCCUUUCAGCUCCUUCGCCAGUAUCUUUACCAUCGCUUCCACCGCCGCCUUCGAUGCCGUGUAAGCCCCGUAUCCAGGCCUGAACGCCGCCGCUAACGAUGUCGUUAAGCAUAUUAUCCUCCCCCCUCCGCCGCGCUUGAUUCUGCUCGCCCCUUCCUUGCAGCAUAUGAAAGCCCCACGUGCGUUCACUUCGAAGGUCCUGUCGAAGUCCUCCAAGUUUGUGUUUAGGAUUGAUGGGUAUUUACCGUCGAGCACGCCGGCGCAGUUGACUAAGAUGUUGACCGGCGAUUGAAAGGCCGAUUCUGCAGAGUCGAAGAGGGAUUUGACUUGAUCUGGGUCGGAGAUGUUGGCUUUGACGGCGAUGGCACGUGGGGAGGAAUUGGAGGUGGAAUUGAUUUGGGAUACGACGUCGUCGGCUUUUGUGGAGUUGGAGGAAUAGUUGAUGACGAGCUUAGCACCCAGAGACGCUAAAUGAAGGGCGAUGGCUUUGCCGAUGCCACGAGAAGAGCCGGUAACGAUGGCUACUCGAUCUUGGAGUGGGAAGUUUUGGCCUUGGCUUGAUUGCUGAGCAAUAUCGAC
rnacentral:lncRNA from 1 species